CGACCUCACAUCAGGCGAGACAACCCGCUGAAUUUAAGCAUAUCACUAAGCGGAGGAAAAGAAACCAACAGGGAUUCCCUUAGUAGCGGCGAGCGAAACGGGACCUAGCCCAGCACCGAAUCCCUCGUCCUUGCCGGCGAUCGGGAAAUGUGGUGUAUGGGAGGUAACGUUCCCGAGAGUUUUGGGGUGGUGCAAGUCCCCCUGACAGGGGCUUGACCCAGAGUGGGUGCCAGGCCCGUCUCCGCCACUGCUCUCUCGGGAUGGAACCUC
rnacentral:ncRNA from 1 species